GACGAACGCUGGGCGUGCUUAACACAUGCAAGUCGUACGGUAAGGCCCUUUCGGGGGUACACGAGUGGCGAACGGGUGAGUAACACGUGAGUAACCUGCCCACAACUUUGGGAUAACGCUAGGAAACUGGUGCUAAUACUGGAUAUGUGCUCCUGCUGCAUGGUGGGGGUUGGAAAGCUCCGGCGGUUGUGGAUGGACUCGCGGCCUAUCAGCUUGUUGGUGGGGUAGUGGCCUACCAAGGCGGCGACGGGUAGCCGGCCUGAGAGGGUGACCGGCCACAUUGGGACUGAGAUACGGCCCAGACUCCUACGGGAGGCAGCAGUGGGGAAUAUUGCACAAUGGGCGCAAGCCUGAUGCAGCAACGCCGCGUGCGGGAUGACGGCCUUCGGGUUGUAAACCGCUUUCAGCAGGGACGAAGCUUUUUGUGACGGUACCUGCAGAAGAAGCACCGGCUAACUACGUG
rnacentral:rRNA from 1 species